CCCUGAGCCAUGGAGUGGUGUGAGAGAUGGGACCUCACAUCCAGCCAUGUGUCUGCAAAACCUUGAAAUGAUGAACGCAGAGGGCCUGAAGGAUAUGAAACUGACCCUGCCUCCCAUCUCUAUGUCUGAGGAUUGUCUGCAUCUCAACAUCUACACACCAGCUCAUGCCCAUGAGGGCUCUAAACUGCCUGUGAUGGUGUGGAUCCAUGGUGGUGCUCUAAUUGGAGA